GGUCUUAUCGUCCAGCGGUUUAAGACGUUGGUUUUUGAAACAAAAACACAGUAAGGCUCAUCUACCAACAACCUGGGUUCGAAUCCCAGUAAGACCU